rnacentral:lncRNA from 1 species
UACAGAGCAGAGGACAUGCGCUGGCAAAUUGGUGCGGGGCGUACGGGGUGGUGCUGGCGUGUGUAUGGGAGCAUGCGUGGCGCCAGGAGGAGUGUACGGUGCCUGGAGGCUGCUGAGGUUGCUGCGACUCGAGGACCCCUUUUCCCCUAGGGUUUGCCAAAGCUGAGCAUGGGUUUCUAGCUGUUUGGGUCUGUUCCAGUUAGUGGGCCCUUAUAUUUAGGCUAUGGGGCUACUGGUUUUUUGUAAUUGGACUAAAGUAUUUAAGGGACUGUUAUAAUUUUGUUUAAUUUAUGUUUUUUUUUUGGUUUAUUUGGGCCGGACAAAUUUGGCCCAUUACAGCUGCCCCUCUUUGCUCAUUGUCGUGGAACAAUAAUAGAGCAAAGACUAUAAAUGGGCCAAUUUUGCCAGGGCCCACUGAGCUUCGACUUCUUGGUGCUUUUUUUAUUCAAGUAGCCUCAAUAUGCUCCGCUGCAACUUCAGGGAGACAUGGUUCGUGAGUUUCUAUCCUGCUCUACUGCAACUUCAGAGAGAUAAGGAUUGUGACUUUGAUUUUGCUCCACUGCAACUUCAAGGAGACGAAAUCUUGCAAUCUUCAGCCUGUUGCCCUACUACUUAGGGGGUUUAAGGCUCGUUUUCUCCGAUCUGCUCCACUGGAGACGAGAUCUGCAAUCGUCAACCUACUCCACUACAACUUUAGGGAGCUAGGGCGAUAGUCUAAAUCUACUUCACUGCAACAUCAGGAAGCCUAGAUUCACCGUCUUUGAUCUGUUCCACUGCAAUCCCAGGGAAACAAAAUCUAUAUUUCUCAGCCUACUCCACUACAACUUUAGGGAGCUAGGUUAGUGACUUAAAUCUGCUUCACUGCAACUUCAAGAAGUUAAGAUUCGUCGUCUUCGAUCUGCUCCACUGUAACUUCAGGGAAACGAGAUCUAAAAUUUCAACCUACUCCACUACAACUUUAGGGAGCUAGGUUAGUAACUUAAAUCUGCUUCGCUGCAACUUCAGGAAGUCAAGAUUCGUUGUCUUUGAUCUGUUCCACUGCAACUUCAGGGAAACGAGAUCUAAAAUUUUAACCUACUCCACUACAACUUUAAGGAGCUAGGUUAGUGACUUAAAUCUGCUUCGCUGCAACUUCAGGAAGUCAAGAUUCAUUGUCUUCGAUCUGUUCCACUGCAACUUCAGGGAAACGAGAUCUAAAAUUUUAACCUACUCCAUUACAACUUUAAGGAGCUAGGUUAGUGACUUAAAUCUGCUUCGCUGCAACUUCAAGAAGUCAAGAUUUGUCGUCUUCGAUCUGCUUCACUGCAACUUCAGGGAAGCAGGAUCUGUAGGAUUCGCCAAUGUUACUACACUGUCUUCCAAAGACAUGAUUUGUAGAAUUGGUUUCCUGUAUCAAGCAAUUAAGAUGCUAUGAUCGAGAUGAAUCAAAUGUCCCUAACUAGAUGUGGCGUUUAUGUCAGAUAAUUAGAAUGCUAUGAUCGAAAUGAAUCAAGUGCUCCUAACUAAAUGAAUGAUUAUGAAUGUAGAAGUGCUAUGAGAAUAAUCCCUCUUUAAACGCUUAAGGUAUUAUUGCUCAUGAUUCAUUCGGGUUCUGUCUUUGAUGUGCUAUCGCGUCUUCUUACUUAGCCGUUAUCUCUGACAGGAAAUUUGAAGAAAUAGUCCUAAUUUGGAUUUCUCGUUUUCCAAUAUUUUCCAACUUUGAACCUGGUUAGUCCUGACUAGUGGCCCUGUUUCAGGUCCUUGUACUAUUUAGAGACUUUCCAGAGUAAUAUGCAUAAUGUCUUUUGUGUGAAUAUUACAUGUCCAAAAAUUUCGAUUUCAACAAAAAUGCUCGAAAGAAAUUAUCAUAAUGGACAAAUGUCAUUUUAUUAAACAAAAUUUUUAUAUGAAUACAUAGGAAUAUGAAUCUGAUAAGGUGCAAAAAAUGAGAAAAAAGUGCCCCAGAUAUCGCAGCACGAGUUUCACUAUUCUAAUUUCUCAAAGGCUCCUUCGAACCAAAUGUGUAUUCAGGAGAUUCUGCAUAUUUUGUUGAUGCUCCAAGGUGUAUUGUUCUUCUGUCUUGUUGAUUUUGGAAGGACAAUACUACCAUAUGCCCCAUAUUCAAAAUUUGAGCUGCCCAUUUUCGGGUUUUCAACUCAAAAGCCCCUUUGGUUCCAAAGUGCCCUUUGCGGGUUUUAACCUUGGCCUCUCCGGUUGUUUUUUUUUUGAAAAUCUCAGAGCGGCCUUUGCGGGUUUUCACUCUGGCCCUUCUUCUUUCAGGUAAAAUACUUCUUGACUAAAUCCAAGUUUACAGGAUUGGGCAAGUUUCUACCGUCCAUCUCGGUUAGGAUCAAUGCUCCUCCAGAGAAAGUUUUCUUCACCACGUAAGCCCGCAUCAUUCGUUUUUGGUACAUCUGACCAUGACGAAUAGCUUUUAGCCUUUUUUCCUCAAUUAGGUUCAAUUGAUCAUAUCAAGAUUGGAUCCACUCGGCUUCUUCCAAUUUUAACUCCGACAACACUCGAAGGGACGGGAUCUCGACUUCGAUCGGCAACACUUCCUCCAUUCCGUAGACCAAAGAAAAAGGGGUUGUCCCAGUUGAGGUUUUGACUGAUGUUCGAUACGCAAAGAGGGCAAAUGGUAGCUUCUCAUGCCAGUCUCUGUAGGUUUCGGUCAUCUUUCCCACAAUCUUCUUAAUGUUUUUAUUGGCCGCUUCCACUACCCCAUUCAUCUUCAGGCGAUAUGGUGAGGAGUUGUGAUGUCUGAUCUUGAAUUGACUGCAGACUUUCGCUAUCAUACUGUUGUUCAAGUUUAAUGCAUUGUCAGAUAUGAUCCUCUCCGACAUUCCAUAUCGACAUAUGAUCUCCUUUUUCAGAAACUUGCUCACUGCCGAUUUUGUCACACUAGCAUAUGAAGCGGCUUCUACCCAUUUGGUGAAAUAGUCGAUAACCACAAAGAUGAACCGAUGCCCAUUGAAAGCUUUCGGCGAUAUUGGUCCAAUCACAUCCAUGCCCCACAUAGAGAAUGGCCAUGGAGAAACCAUGACAUGCAGCGGUGAAGGAGGCACAUGAAUUUUGUCUCCGUAGAUUUGGCACUUAUGGCAUCUCUUAGCGUAGUUGACACAGUCUCCUUCCAUGGUGGACCAAUAGUACCCGAAUCUCAUAAUUCCCCUGGCCAUUGUAAAGCCAUUAGCGUGUGUCCCAUAGACACCUUCAUAGACUUCUUCCAAGAUUUUCUUAGCCUCUACAGCGUCUACACAUCUUAGUAGCACUUGAUCCUUUCUUCUUUUGUAUAGGAUAUCCCCAUCUAGGACAUAGUCGAUGGCCAAUCUUCUUAGCAUUCUUUUGUCAUUCUCGCUUGCCUGGUCCGGGUAUUCACAAUUCUUCACGUAUUGCAAUAUAUCGUGAUACCAAGGGUGAUCAUCUUUCUCUUCGUCUUCUUCAAUAUUGUAACAGUGGGCCGGAACUUCAUAAAUGCUCAUCUAGAUGGGUUUGACGUCUUCUUGUCUGUUCACCUUGAUCAUGGAGGCUAAGGUAGCCAAAGCAUCAGCCAUCUGAUUUUCGUCUCGUGGAAGGUAGUGGAAGGUGAUGUUAUCAAACUCUUUAACCAAUUCAAGGACCAGUUUUCGAUAAUCGAUCAACUUGGGGUCUUUGGUCUUCCAUUCUCCUUUGAGUUGAUAAAUCACUAGCGCAGAAUCCCCAUACACCUCUAGCACUUUAAUCUUACGUUCUAUGGCUGCGCGGAUACCCAUGAUGCACGCUUCGUAUUCCGUCAUGUUAUUCGUACAAUCAAAAUCCAAUUUACUAGUGAAUGGAUAAUAAUCUCUGUUUGGGGAUACUAAGACGGCCCCGAUUCCAUUGCUCACGGCAUUUGAUGCCCCAUCAAAGUUUAGUUUCCAAGGAAGUUCUUCCAGAGCACAUUCUUCAGUGGUAGAAACACACAUUAGGUCUUCAUUCGGGAAGUCGAAGUUCAAAGACUCGUAGUCUUCCAAAGCUCUACUAGCCAAAAAAUCUGCUAUUGCACUCCCUUUUACUGCCUUCUGAUUCACAUAAACUAUGUCGAAUUCGGAGAGCAGAAUCUGUCAUCGGGCCAUCUUUCCAUUCAAAGCUGUUGACUCCAUCAUGUACUUUAAGGGGUCCAAUUUUGAGAUGAGCCAAGUGGUGUGAUACAACAUAUACUGCCUCAGCCUUCGGGUUGUCCAAAUUAGGGCACAACACAACUUCUCUAUCGGCGGGUACCUUGUCUCACAUUCUGUGAACUUUUUACUAAGAUAGUAAAUGGCCUUCUCUUUCCUUCCUGACUUAUCGUGCUGACCCAAUACGCAUCCCAUGGAGUUUUCGAAUACCGCCAAAUACAGUAUCAACAGCUUAUCGGGGUUAGGUGGCAUCAGCACCAGGGCGUUGGAUAAGUACUGUUUUACCUUGUCGAAAGCCCUUUGGAAUUCUUCAUCCCAUUCGCCUGGGUUAUGUUUCUUGAGGAGGCGAAAAACAGGGUCACAUUUCUCGGUCAGUUGUGAAAUGAACUGAGCAAUGUAAUUUAAUCUUCCUAGAAAGCCUGAAACUUUUUUUUGAGUGCGCGGCGGGGAUAACUCUUGUAUGGCUUUAACUUUGUCUAGAUCGAUCUCAAUCCCUUUCUCACUAACCACGAAUCCGAGCAACUUUCCAGACUUAGCUCCGAAGGUACAUUUGGCUGGGUUGAGUUUUAGCUGGAACUUCCUCAACCUCAAGAACAAUUUCCUCAAGACUUGUAUGUGCUACUUCUCUGUUCGAGACUUUGCGAUUAUGUCAUCGAUAUAAACCUCGAUUUUUUUAUGCAUCAUGUCGUGAAAAAGGGUUACCAUGGCUCUUUGAUAAGUUUCCCCCGCAUUCUUCAGUCCAAACGGCAUCACCUUGUAACAGAACGUGCCCCAUAUGGUUACAAACGUGGUUUUCUCCAUAUCUUCAGGAUACAUCUUGAUCUGGUUGUAUCCCGAAAAACCGUCCAUGAAUGAAAACAGCGAAUGUCUCACCGUGUUGUCCACUAGGGUGUCGAUAUGAGGUAGUGGGAAAUUGUCUUUUGGGCUGGCUUUAUUCAAAUCUCUGUAGUCCACACACAUUCGCACUUUUCCAUCUUUCUUAGGGACAGGGACGAUGUUGGCUACCCAAUCUGAGUAUUUUACCACCUUUAAAAAUCCAGCGUCAAACUGCUUUCGAACCUUUUCCUUUAUUUUUAGCAAGACAUCGGGCCUCAUUCUUCGGAGUUUUUACUGAACUGGCUUACACUCUUCUUUUAUAGGAAGUCGAUGCACCACGAUGUCAGUGUCCAACCCGGGCAUAUCUUGGUAUGACCAUGCGAAGACAUCUUUGAAUUCUUGAAGUAAUUCAAUGAGGUCUCGCUUCAUUUCCGCAGUGAUACAUGUUCCGAUCUUCACCUCUUGUCCUUCUUCUAAGCUCACAAUUUUGAUUGAUUCUUGGUGAGGUAGGAUUUGCUUCUCGUCUUAUUCUACCAUCCUCAACAAAUCAGGAGAUAGGUUACAGCCUUGGUCAUCUUCAAAAUCCUGAGAAUCAUCCAUACACACAUCUUGCUCGAAAGAAAAUUCUGAGUCGCUAGCAGUGUCACUCAUAUCAUUAAUAUCUGGGGACCUGUUAUGAGGACGAAGACAGAUACAAAGAAUCAAAAGAAUUCGAAACAUUUAUUUGUGUGAUAUGAUUAUGAAUGACAAAUGAAAGAAUAUUUAAAAGAAUGUUUCAAGAAUAAAAGAAUUCGAAAGUAAUCAUUUGUAUGGUUACGAAUGGAAUUGAAAGGACGAGAUAACAUUUGCUCAAAAAUGAUAAUAACCGUGUAUUUUAUUAAAACAACGUUUUUAAACAUCGGCCUAUUUCACAAAAGAUCCUUAUCACUCCUAGGCCUAGAGCAAUAAGUGUGUUUUGGACAUUACUCUGAAUUCGUUCUAAAAACUACAGGAUCUCUUCCACAGUCCAGUUGUCCAGAACACUUCCAGGUGUAUAGGGGCCAAUGUCUAAUAAACUUUCUCUUCCAGUCUCCUCUUCGUACAUGACGUUGAUGUCCAAGCUUUUCAGCCUUUCUUCUAUAGCUCCCGUCAUUGGCGUGUCUCUCUCGGGAUGAAUGAUUCCCCCAAACACAAAUGUUUUCGAUAUAUGGGGGAAUAUCAUUGGUUCCCACUUGAUUUCCUCCCCCGUUAAUCGAGCUCUCCUUCUUUCUUACUUCUUUUCUAGCUCCCUUCUUCUUUGUUUCGCAUCCGGCUUAAAUCCUAAGCCGAAGCAGUCUCUCUUUUCUUUCAGCAUUGGCGUUUCGAUCCUUCCUUGUAGAUGUCUCCCAAGUUCCUUUCCGGGUAGGGCCCUUUUUCCAAUCGUCAACUGGAGGCUCAUCCUCGUGGUUUUGGACAAUUUCGGAACCAGAAUUUUGCUUCCCUCGACGAUGAACGUCGCGUUAACAAAUUCCAAAGAUCGAAAUGAGCAUUCGAUUGCUUCGUCAUCUUUCUCCAAAUAGGGUGCAUUAUUGCUCACAGUUGCAAUAAUAUCUUCUUCAGCCUUAAUCGUUAUCAACCUCCCCUCCGACACCAGCUUCAAUUUUUGAUGCAACGAGGAAGGCACUGCCCCAGCUGAAUGUAUCUAGGGCCUCCCCAACAAGCAAUUGUUUGAGGGCUUGAUAUCCAUCACGAGAAAAUCCACCUCAUAUGUGUUUGGCCCAAUUUGAAGAGGUACCUCGAUUCUGCUCAUCACCUUUCUCUCCGUACCAUCGAAUGCCUUCACGAUGUUCUGGCACUCCUUCAUGUGAGAGCUGUCUAUAGGUAAUCUGUUCAGCAUGGUCAAUGGCAAGACGUUCAAUGCCGAUCCAUUGUCGAUCAAUACGCCUGGCAGCGUAUACCCUUUACAGCGUGUGGUGAUAUACAGAGCUUUAAUCGACCCUAUGCCCCCGGGUGGUAUCUCGUCAUCAUUAAAAAAGAUAUAAUUGUCGGCACUUAUGUUGCUCACCAACCGGUCUAACUUGUUAACAAAGAUAUCAUUGGCAACAUAUGUCUCGUUUAAGACCUUCAUUAGUGCGCUACGAUGAACUUCCGAGCUUAGAAGCAAUGCCAGCACUGAAAUGCGGGCUGGUUGUUUACGUAGCUGUUCCACCACACUGUAUUCGCUAUGCUUUAGGAAUUUUAAAAACUCCUUGGCCUCCUCUUUGUUAACUGGCUCAUUAACAAAUUUGGUUGCUUUUCCCUUCAUUUCCUCGACCACCUGGGCUUUUUCUUUUGUGGGCUGUUCCUCCUCAUUCACCAUAUCGUAACGCCUCUCGCUACGUGUAUAGGAGCCUCUGUCUUGAUCCCCUCUUGAAGCCCCAACCGGGCUCUCUUUUUUCGGCAUCGUCACACUGCAAUCAUAAUUCCAUGGGACCUUUUUGCUGUCUUUGUAAGGGAAGACUGCAGGUCUUUGGAUUAUGACCCUCGGUGGCAUUUAUACUCCAGCUUCAUUAUUUUUGGGUCUCAAAAUGAUCACCACGGGAUAAUUAGGUACUUGAUUCUGCGCCUUCGAUUCUCCCUCGGAUGCGCAUACAUUUCCCUUUAUCAGGCUUUUAGCUUCUUCAUAGAAUUCCAUUUCUUUGUUAUUUAUCAUGUUCUGCACGAGGGCCCUGAAUUCUACACAUUCUUGGAUUUUAUGCCCCACCUCGUCAUGAAACUCACAGUAGUUUCUCUCUUCUUCGGUUUCUUCCCUUGGAUCCAAUGCUAUCAAUCCUCUCUUGGCCAUUUCCUUCCAUACCCGCCUCAACGGGGUCCUGACUUCUACCACCUCAUACUUGGUCUUCUUGUUCAAGCCUUCACUUAUCCCAUUCACUCCUUGGUCGGUAUGAUUAGGAAGUGGGUUUCCUACUACAUUGGGCGUGGCUGGGUCAUCAAAUCUCACGAUUCCCACCUUAAUGAGUCUUUCAACCACUUUCUUGAAUGCAGUGUAAUUUUCGAUUGAGUGCCCGGUAAUUUCUGCGUGGUAUUCACAUUGGGCAUUUGUGUCAUACCAUUUGGGAUACGGGCCUGCAGUGGCUCCAAGUAGAAAGGGGAUACCACAUGAGCGUUGAACAGGUUCUGGUACAACUCCCUAUACGUCAUGGGUGUAUUGUGGCCUUUCUGUGUUCUUCCUCGCAUUGGAUUCUUGUCUUACAGAGCUUUGUUGAUUGGUAGUCACCGUUUUGGGUUGAUUUACGGUAAUUGACUUGGGCUGCCCCUUGUUGAAUGUGCUCGUGUUGUUCACUUUAUUAUUUUUUUUCCUCGGGGCUGACUUCCUAGCACUCUUUCUCAAUUCUAUCUUGCCGCUCCUUACAGCAUUUUCGAUCAUUUCUCCCAUCAUCACUAUGUCGGAGAAGCUCUUGGUGGCGCUUCCUAACAUAUGCGUGAUAAAAGAGGCUUUCAAGGUGUUAAUAAAGAGCAUUGUCGUCUCUUUUUCUAGAAGUGGAGGCUGAACUUGUAUGGCCACUUCUCUCCACCUUUGUGCAUACUGUCUGAAGCUUUCAUUUGACUUUUUCUCCAUAUUCUAGAGAGUGAUUUUGUCGGGGGUCAUGUCCGUCACAUGACUGUAUUGCUUCAUAAAGGCCUGAGCCAGGUCAUUCCAUGAGUUAAUUUUAGCUCGGCUUAAUUGGUUAUACCACUUGGACGCCGCCCCAACCAGACUAUCUUGAAAGCAAUGGAUUAAUAGCUGGUCGUUGUUAACAUAUCCCAUCAUUCGCCUGCAGAAUAUAGUGAUGUGGGCUUCAGGGUAGCUCGUUCCAUUGUAUUUCUCGAAUUCGGGCAUUUUGAACUUAGGGGGAAGGACUAAAUCUGGGACUAGACUCAGGUCUUUAGCAUCAAUCCCUUAAUGAUGAUCCGCGCUUUCCAUGGCUUUAAAUUUCUCCUCGAGCCAUCUACAACGUUCUUCUAAUUGUUUUUGCGAAUCCAUCCUCGCCUUUUCUUCUUCAGCGAUUUCAUCCAAGUCGGGAACGGGCGGAUAGUUCGGGUUGUUGACGAAGUUAGAGCCUGAGCCAGUUUGGAAAUUCGUCGGUAUUGAAGCUCCAGCUUGAACCUGCUGGGGUAUGAUCGUGACAGAUGGUUUCGGUAGGUUAAUCUCAGGCUUCAUAGGUAGAUGUGUCGGCGUGAAGCCAGGGGGUAUUGAGGAUCCUCAUUAGUUUCUUCAACUUUGUCCAUGGGGCCCUUUCCCUUAUCGGUUCCUCCCAACAGCAAUUUGGAUAGCUGGGACAUUAUUUCUCUCUAGGAUUCCAUCAUUUGCUCUUUCAUCUCUCGCUGAAUCUUGGCUAGCUGCUCUUGCAUCUGAGACUGCAUUUGUUCUUGCAUGUCUUUGUGCAUCUACUCCAAUUUCUCGAGUCUCUUAUCCAUUAAUUUUUUCCUUGUACCGUAAGGGUGUGUGGUUGGUUGGUUUUCGUUGGUUUCCAAGUUACUGAAAUAAGUUAAUUAAUUAGAAGACUCUUAUGGCCUUUAAUACGUAAUGAUAUGAUGUAAUGCAAAUGCAUGAAUGUAAAUGAGGCAUUAAUUUUGAUUCAAUUGCCCUUAGAAAAUUUUACUUGAAAAUAAAAUAUUUUACAUAAAGUCAACUUACAAAUAAAAUUUUGCUCUAAUACUCAAAGUCCUAAUUUUUCUAAGCAAUGAGGCCAGCUCCUGCCCGCGCUCUGACUCCAACUCAUAUUUUACGCUUAGCGUGUCUGCCUAAACUGCUAAAGUUUGCAAGUAGUCUGCUACUUCCCGUAUCUGGGUUAUAGCUUCCCCAAUAAGGUAAUCUCUGUUUCUGACUUGGUCUUGCGCAUGGUGAAGCUGCUCCUUCCAACGAUCCUCGUUUGCCUCGAAAAACUGGAUCCGCAUCUCACAAUUUUGCAGUGACGCCUCUAAGUUUUCUAUUCUUCCUUUUAUUUCUUGUAUUUUGCUCAAACUUGCCCUCAAUUCUGUCGCAGUGUUGCGGUUUCGGUACUGAUGUAGGGACUUCUCAAGUUCUGCCACUCUAGCCCUUAAUUGCCCUCGCUCAUUUCUGCUUUCUGACAGACUUUUCUCGAAAUCUUCGUUUCGUGCUUGAGCUUCUCGGAAUUUCCUUUCCCACCAGUCGGUAUUGGCCUUUUCUUCCCAAAUUUCAUGCGCCAUUGUUUGGAAGUCUUACCUAAGCCCGCAGUCCUCAUAGAUAGGCGUAACUUCUUGUAGUCCGUUUUCAAAUUGUCUAGAUCUUCUUCGGCCUUAAUUUUUCCUUUUCUCCACUUUUCAGCCUCUGACCUCUGGACAUCAGCUUCUAACCUUAGGUGCAUCUUCUCUUCCUCCAAUUGUUCGAACUUCUUCCCAAGCUCCAAACUCUUCUUCUCGAAAUCUUGCCUUAUAAUCUCCAAUUCUGAUCGGGCGAGUUGUAAUUGUUCCCCGAUAGGUCGAGCAUUCUCCAAGCUUGGCCUAGGAAUAUUAUCAUUAAUCCUCUUCUUAAACCACUCGCUGUACUCGGGUGUUACCAUGGAACCGACGGCUAACCUCUUCAUCCAACAAGUCUACUUCCAAGCAUCUGAUAAUUCCCGAACUCUCUUCUUGUAAUGUGCACCUUUAAACGAGAAUUCACUCUGAGCAAAUCCGUGGGCCGUGGGUAUAAACUGCCUCGACUUAUAUUACCUCAAGGCUAUCAACGGAGUAUAUGCGGUAGUUCAACAAAUUCCUAACAACGGCACCCAAUCAAAGCUACCACAUCGGUUCAUGAUCUCAUUAGGAACCAUCCAAUAAGCUCUCCACUCGAUAUCCUCCUCCUUGAGGUUCUGAAAAAUAUCCAUCCACUUCUCCUCCGAGAUAUCCUCUCUCCUCUGUAUAGCUGCCUCUUCUUUCAAAGGGGAAUAACCUUCAGAAAAGACUCGAUAGGAAACCUUAUCCACCUUCCAAAAGUGCCCAUGAAACCAUACCAUCAAUAGUUGAGCACAUCCAAUAAAUCACCCCUCGCCUGUCUUCCGACAUGAGCUCAAAGAUUUGAACAUUUCUGCCAAUAUUGCCGGUACUGGUGUGAUUCCCUUUUCAAGACGAUCAAACAAGUCAAUGACCGCCUCGUCCACGUGCCUCAAAGCCUUAGGAAAGAUCACUAAUCCGUAGAUGCUUAAGGCAAAUAUAUCGACCCUCUUUCUUUCGUCUGGAUGAGUCAAGAUCAAAUCUCGCAAAUUCUCCCAAGUGACACAUUUGCUAUCUCCUUUUUGCUGAAUCCGAGUAGUGACCCAAGGCUCGCUCAUCCCAGAAAUGCUCAUCAGUUUCUUCACGAAAGCCUGAUUACUAAAAACCCAGGCAUAAGUCUUCCGGACCUGAAUCUUUGGACAUCUAAGCAGCGUAGUGUAUUCCUCCAUGGUAGGUACCAAAUCCACUUCUCCAAAAGUGAAACACUUGUACGCAGAAUUCCAAAACUGCACCAAGGCUCGGAACAAAUGCUUAUCCACUCUAAUAUCUAGCAGGUAGGAUAUGUCACCAUAGCUUUGGUAAAACAACUGCUUGAUCCUUUCAUCCCAACGAACCCAAAUGUCUCUCAACUCUUGCAGCUCAUUCUAUACUACAUUGACGCGAGUGAAAUCCUGCAGCUCCGACACAUACCCUUUUGCCAAGCCAUCCCCUCUCUCAGAUUGUAGCCUUUCUGACCAAGCACGAACGGUCGUAUUAUCCUCGAAUUUACUAAGAAAUUCAUUCUCCAUGUCAAAUUUUCUAACUUAGUAAUUGAAUAUAGAUUAACGCCUCCUUUAGUAUGCAAUGUCAUGCAAAAAAGACAAUCAAAACAAAACAUAGGUUAGUAUCAAAUAAUAGUGAUAGAAUGCAAGCACAUAAAUGGUGAUUAUAACGUAUAUACGGGUAAGUACUAAGGCUCAACGCGGCUCCACCCAAGGAUAGCUCCUAAAGUUCACUAUAUGUGGUUUAGUUCUAGGAAAAGGGGUACCCGAACCAGCAGAUUCCUUAAUCCUCACCCAUUAUAGGCUCAUAUAGAUCGAGUUUGGUUCGGGGGGAUACAUUUCCCUAUGACCAUGCGGAGAUGAAAAUAUCACGAAAUCAUAGGUACGGAUGUACCCCGGAAGCAAUCCACUAGCCCAUGCGGAGGUGAAAACCUCACGAAAGCAUAGUUUCUUACUCUCACUUAGAAGGUGUGACCACAGUGGCCAUGCAAUGAAAUACAGUGCUAUUCUACAAGACCCGUACCAAAACAAUCAUACAAUCAAAUGCAAUCGAAAGAUAGAUGAUUUUUAAAAUAAAUUUUCGGUCUUUUAACAAAAAGACAGUAGAUAAUGGAUUUUUAUGGCUCGACUCUCAAGUUCAAUCCCUAGUGGAGUCGCCAAGCUGUCGAAACCAUCCUUCGAUUAAAAAAAGUUUUAAUAUUUUAAAUUUGAUGAAAAUACGAGGGGGAUCGACUUUUUGGAAAAUAGAAAUAUGGAGUCGCCACCGAUUUUUUAUUUUAGUGUGAUCGGAUCACUUAAAAGAUGAGGUGAGUUUAAUAAAACAUUUUUUGAUUUAUUAAAACACGAUUUUGGUCUUACGAAAAUGUGAGAAAAUGGGUUCGGGAGUCGGUUAUGCAUGAGGAAGGAUUAGCACCCUCACUAUGCCCAAAAUUGGUACCAAAUUGAUUAAAUAUUGUCCUUAUGUCAAAGCUUAAAAAAUGUUUUUGAAAUGUGGUUCUUAUCAAUAACGUUUAAAUAACCGAGUGGGUUACCAAAAUUUUCUUGUUUCAACGUCCGAAAGUCUAAAAUUUUAAAAUUAACAAAAGGAUUCCCAACUGUUUGGUCCAACGAAAAAUCGAAACCCAGCACAGUAGGGCACGAUUCCUCGAUUUUCCAAACAUUGUCCAUUGCCUUACCUUAAAAAAUAAGUGUGAAAUUUCGAAAGGAUCCUUGAUGGUUUUAAGCAAAUGAAAAAGCGCAACCCAGCACGAUAGGGCUCGAUUCUCAAGUUGCCAAAUAUCGAACAUCACCUUCGUUUUGAAAGGUUUUUAAUAAUUAUGAAUAGAGACCUGAAGGAAUACUCGAUUGUUUUGAACAAACGAGAAAUCACAACCCAACACGAUAAGGCAUGAUUCCUGAAUUAUCAAACACCGAGUAUUGCCCUCAUUUUAAAGGAUUUUUAAAAGAGCCGAGUGAAAUUUUGAAGGGAUAUUUGAUUACUUUACACAAUCGAGAAAUUGCUACUCAACACGUUAGGGCGCGAUCCCACGAAAUGCCAAAUACCACAUAUCGCCUUCGUUUUAGGGAUUUUAAAAGACACGAGCGAAAUUUUAAAGUGAUAUUCGAUUAUUUUGAGCAAAUACGAAAUUGCAACCCAACACGUUAAGGCACGAUUCCGCGAAUUACCAAACAUCAAAUCUCAUCUUCGUUUAAGGGAUUUUAAAAGAUAUGAAUAAAAUUUCAAAGGAAAAUUCAAUUAUUUUGAGCAAAUGCGGAAUUAUAACCCAACACGUUAUGGCACGAUUCCACGAAUUGCCGAACAUCAAAUCUCAUCUUCGUUUAAGGGAUUUUAAAAGAUAUGAAUAAAAUUUCGAAGGGAAAUUCGAUUAUCUUGAGCAAAUGCGAAAUUGCAACCCAACACGUUAGGGCACGAUUCCGCGAAUUGCCGAACAUCAAAUUUCGUCUUCGUUUUGAAGAAUUUUUGGAUGAAUGAUUAUAGAGCUAGCUUAAGACCUAUUAAUUCGAUUUAAAAUAGGACGAAAUUAAUCAUAAAAUUUAGAUUUUAUAAAACCACAUUUCGAAAAUCAAAUAAAAUCGGUGGAUGGGGUAAACGUGCAUAUGAGAUACAAUCGAUUAAUGAAAUAAAAAAAAGUAUAGCUAAUCCUAAAAAAACGCAACCUGAUUACAAUAGCGCAUGGAGGAUAAUAAUACAAUGACAAAGAUGAUAAUAUGACAACCAUUCAAGCGAAACAAAACAUACGAUAGUAUGCCACAAUAAUAAACAACAUAUGAUAUAGAUUAACCGAUACAAGAUAUGAAAAAUAAUAUAGCAAUUAGAAACUAAUGCACUAUAAAAUGAUUUUUAAAUAAUAACGAAUAAAUGGGCCCAUACAUAAGUCGACAUAUUUGCAUGAAAGCUAUAGAUAGCUAUAUGAUUUUUUUUGGAACAAAUAUUAUAGAAUAAAAAUUUGAAUCAAAUUACAUGUAACAUGUUUUAAACAUGAAUUUAUUUAAAAGUUAACAAAAUAUAUGAUAGUACAAAAAAAUAUAUGAUACAAAAAAAUAUAUGACAAAAACAUGAGGCCCAAAAUAGAUUUAUAAAAAAAAAUGUACAUAUAAACUUAUAAAAGAAUGAGAUUAAAAUUAGUACAUAUAUAUAAUUUUAAAUUGGUUUUUAAAAAAAACAUACCUAUCCUCAUAUCAAAAUAUUUAAAUAAUAGGCUAUAUAAAACACAAAAGCAAUAUAAUAUAAAGAAAUAAAAACAUGGAUAACGAUAAUAAUUUUAUAAUUAAAAGCUCUUAACAUUAUUUCAUAUAUAUAUAGAAAAUGUUUGGUAAAUUAUAAAGCGAAAGGUGUUUUAAAAUAAAAUCUAUUAAAAUAACAAAGGGUAUUAAUGUGUAUAUGUAUAUACAAAUUUCAAAGAGAACACAUGUAAAUUCCUAAAGAACGAUAAUGUGUAGAUUUAAUGAAAUAUAUAUAUAUGCCGAAUAUAUGUACUAAUAUAGGCAAAUGGAAAGAUAAUUUUAUGGAAAACAUGUGUGUAUAAACAAAAUGUAUUAUCGUGACAAAGUAUAUGCUAAAAUACAUAAUUAGAAUAAAACAUUGUAUGUAUGAAGCAUUAGGAUUUUUUGUAAAACAUAUAUAUGCCUAAUAACACUAAAGAAAUAAACAUCCAAGAUAUAUGAAGAAUGAUAAUAAUCUUACAAAAAAACAAAUUUAUAACACUAAAAAGUUUGUCAUAGCUGCUUAAAAAUAUACUAGUAAGUAAAUAAAAGAAAUUAUAAAGUUAUAAAAUAAAAGACCUAAUUAAAAUUAAACUAAAACACACAAGGUAAAAUUGAAAAUAAACAAAAACAGUGGAGGGACCAAUAGUCCAUGCGCGGAAACAGCUAGGGACUACAACUGACAAUAUACCAGAUCCCAAAAGGCUGUAUUCAAGCGCGGGUCCAUUUGCAAACGUGUAUAAAUUACAUAGCUAAAUUAAUAAAAAUAAAAAAAUAAAUGAGAGCCAAACGAAACAUGGUGCAACAGGGAGGGACCGAUGCUGUAAAUAGACCCUCUUCGUGAAAACGCGCGGGUCGUCGGGGCAGCUAAACGGAUCAGGUCGGGGCUCCAUCCUACGACGUCGAUUUUGACCCAUUGUAAUGGGCUUGAAACGGCGUCGCUUUUAACCCUUUAAAAGGGCUGAAGACUGAGUCAUUCAGCCGAACCCUAGCCCUUUCCCCUCUCUCGUUGCUCAAUCGACCUCCAAGUGCUCCUUUUAGCACUAAUUCGUCACUACGAGCGACGGUCUGUGCAUCCGAGCCCUAAAAGAGGGGUUUUCGCCUUUGAAACCCCCAUUUAAACUUUGAUUUCGACGAAGUAAAAGGGGGGACGACGAUUAGCUUCGCAAGGUAAGCUCCUCUUUCACCGUUCCUUUGUUCAUCUCUUUAUUUUCAAAACGAUAAUGGUGAAUGACCCCCAAACCAGAAACGCAAUGAUAUAUGGUAAACUAAGAGGAUUCGAGGAAGAAAAGAAAUCACCUCUGCUUUUUUUGUGCGUAUUCGUAUUGCUUUUGUUCAUAAAAAAAUCUCUCUUUACAGUAUCUAUUUGUAUAUUUUUGUUGCGUAAAUGCGCGUCCCCCCAUUACAAUGAACAUUUUCUGGCUUUAUAUCCGAAACGAAAGAAAAACAAAUAAAAGAAAAAUAAUAUUUUCUCUUUUGUCUCUGUUUGUUGCUGCGUUUGUCUUGUUCGCAGGUACGGAGCAGAGGACAUGCGCUGGCAAAUUGGUGCGGGGCGUACGGGGUGGUGCUGGCGUGUGUACGGGAGCAUGCGUGGCGCCAGGAGGAGUGUAUGGUGCCUGGAGGCUGCUGAGGUUGCUACGGCUUGAGGACCCCUUUUGCCCUAGGGUUUGCCAAAGCUGAGCAUGGGUUUCGGGCUGUUUGGGUCUGUCCAGUUAGUGGGCCCUUAUAUUUGGGCUAUGGGGCUACUGGUUUUUUGUAAUUGGACUAAAGUAUUUAAGGGACUGUUAUAAUUUUGUUUAUUUUAUGUUUUUUUUUGGUUUAUUUGGGACGGGCAAAUUUGGCCCAUUACAAUGUAUAUAGGAUCAAGCUAAUUUUACUAUGAAUAAUAUAUGUUCAUGUAGAUAUAAAACAUUUGAAUGAAAUAUUAUAUAAAGAUAUUAAAAUAAUAUAAAAAAGACUUCAAACUCAUUGUACAAAGAAAACUA